UCAAGCAAUCCACCCACCUCAGCCUCCCAAGGUACUGGGUUAACAGGAGUGAGCCACCACACCUGGCCUAUAAUCUACUUUUUAAACUAAAUAAUACAUUACAUAUAUCUUUCUAAGCUAAUGAACAUACACAUUUUUGGUAGUGAAUAUCUUUAUGUAUUCACCCAGAUCACAAAUGAUUCCCUUAACUGUUUUCCCAUCCACUGAAAUAAGCUCAAGCUCUCAUAUUUGUAUUGCGUGACCCUGUCUUCCUGAUCACAGUUUUUUGAAUCAAAUUUACUCUGGGCAAUCAGAUUCUCUUUGCUGGGAAUUUGGAAAUGGGGUUGGUCUCUUGAAAAGAAAAGUAAAAUCAGGAAAAUAGAAUUACUUAAGUAAUCCUUCAAAAUUGGUAUUUUUAUCUUAAAAAGACUGAUGUGAGGUAUUGAAGUAGAUGUUAAAACUUUAAAAUGAUGGUUACAAAUAAGGGGGGCUGGAUGAAUGAAUGUACAAAGAACAACAACAUCUUAAUUCCUGGAUUCAUACGUUUUCAAUACUAACCUAAACACCAUAGAGUCACCUAGAGACAACUGUAAUUUCUCUUCUAUUAACCAAAAAACUAUUAAUUUUAAAAGAAUAUUCACAUUAAACAUGGAGCAAUCUGCUCUGUUACAGCUCCACUAUACCUGUGACCUACAUUCUUGUGUAGCAUGCACUAGACUCAUGUUCUCAGCCAGGCUAUGGUGGUCAAUGAUCAUAGUUAGUCUAUCACUGAUACAUGUUUGUCAGCUUGCUCAACCAAACAUCUGUCCCUGUUUGAUCUUAACAUAAAAGUCCAAAGUUAGACUUAUCUCAAAUCCUAGUCAUAGCUAUUAAUGAUUAAGAGAGACAAUGUGAUAGAUCCUAUCUACAAAUAACUAUUUGGAAGGCAGAAGUUUGGAGAGACAUUAACUCUUUCAGCAUUUAUUUAUCAGAGUACUCUGGCUGAAAAAAAAAUUGUAGAAGCUUCUCCAGAAUUAAAUGUUUAAAGAACAUUAUUUGAAGGAGACAGUAAAAGAAAAGGGAUGUAACAGGUGAAACAAGACUGACCAUGUUUUAAUAAGCUGGCUAAUAGGUACUUAAGUUCAUUAUGCUUUGUAUUCUCUACUUUUGUAUAUGUUUGAAGGCUUUUACAAUAAAAGUUUUUAAAAGUAAAUGCAGAUGCUCACACACACAUAAAAUUCAAACUAAAGUUACAAAGAAAAAAUUAAAACCACACGUAAUACUACCAGACUGAAUUCUUCUUUCACAGUAUUUCCAGCAAAUCUGGAAUCAGAAGAGUUGUAUUCAAAUUCUGGUUUUGUCAAUAAUGAGCUCUGUGAACUUGUACAUAACUUCUCUGGGCUUCGUUUUUCAUGAACAAGAUAGAGCUUUUGGGGAA
rnacentral:lncRNA from 1 species